rnacentral:rRNA from 1 species
AUUGAACGCUGGCGGCAUGCCUUACACAUGCAAGUCGAACGGCAGCACGGGAGCAAUCCUGGUGGCGAGUGGCGAACGGGUGAGUAAAGUAUCGGAACGUGCCCAGUCGUGGGGGAUAACGUAGCGAAAGUUACGCUAAUACCGCAUACGAUCUAUGGAUGAAAGCGGGGGAUCGCAAGACCUCGCGCGAUUGGAGCGGCCGAUAUCAGAUUAGGUAGUUGGUGGGGUAAAGGCUCACCAAGCAGACGAUCUGUAGCUGGUCUGAGAGGACGACCAGCCACACUGGGACUGAGACACGGCCCAGAAUCCUACGGGAGGCAGCAGUGGGGAAUUUUGGACAAUGGGCGAAAGCCUGAUCCAGCCAUGCCGCGUGCAGGAUGAAGGCCUUCGGGUUGUAAACUGCUUUUGUACGGAACGAAAAGGUUUGGCCUAAUAAGCUGAGCUCAUGACGGUACCGUAAGAAUAAGCACCGGCUAACUACGUGCCAGCCGCCGCAGUAA